rnacentral:rRNA from 1 species
UCGAGAAUUUUCUCAAUGGGCGAAAGCCUGAAGGAGCGACGCCGCGUGGGGGAUGAAUGGCUUCGGCCCGUAAACCCCUGUCAUUUGCGAACAAACCUCGUGAUUUAACAGAUGACGAGCUGAUUGUAGCGAAAGAGGAAGGGACGGCUAACUCUGUGCCAGCAGCCGCGGUAAUACAGAGGUCCCAAGCGUUGUUCGGAUUCACUGGGCGUAAAGGGUGCGUAGGUGGUUGGGUAAGUCUGAUGUGAAAUCUCCGGGCCUAACCCGGAAACUGCAUCGGAUACUAUUCGACUGGAGGGUUGGAGGGGGACUGGAAUACUUGGUGUAGCAGUGAAAUGCGUAGAUAUCAAGUGGAACACCAGUGGCGAAGGCGAGUCCCUGGACAACUCCUGACACUGAGGCACGAAAGCUAGGGGAGCAAACAGGAUUAGAUACCCUAGUAGUCCCUGAGCGGGCUGGCAAGGCGCAU